AUGGCUUCAGCAUGAUUAUGCCAGAACCAUAAGUCUCAAAGCCCCGACGAGUAGGGUGGCGUGCCGGUGUGCGUUGAAGGCCAAGACGUGAGUCAGGCUGGAGCCGCCGGUAGUGCAGAUCUUGGUGGUAGUAGCAAGUACUCUGGUGAACUAACCUGGAGCUGUGAGGUCUGGAUCAGGGUUCCAUGUCAACAGUGAUUGAACAUGGGUGAGUCGAUCCUAAGCCAACUGCGAAAGCAGUGACAUCCCUGCGAGGGGCCUCUCGAGAGAGAGAUGGUAUACACACGAAGGAAACACAAUUUGUAUGUUUGCGCUCUAACGCGCUAUGGCUGGUGUGUGUGUUGUCGUUUUUUACUCUCGAUGCUCCGAGUACGGUUUCAUGUCUGGCGAAAGGGAAUGGGGACUUUGUUCCUUGACCGGUCCCGGCAACCUCGAUAGGCUUAUGCCAAUCAAUGGUCCAUGCAAAUGGAACCAGGCCACAGCCGCCGGCAGUCGCCCGAGGAAGAGUUUUCUUUUCUGCUUAACGCACGAGUUCAUUCCUGGAAACAGUUCGGCUGGCGAAAGGGUGACCCGUUGCGGCAGAGCGCCACGACUGUCGUGCGCGUCUCGGUGUACCUGCCGGUCCGUGAAAACGUGGUCGAGGGGAUUGCUCUUGUAUCAACGAAACGCCCGACAAGUUCGGGACUGACCGUACCCUAUAUCCGCAUCUGGUCUCCAAGGUUAGUAGCCUCUGCAGAGUCAGACACAUGUAGGUAAGGGAAGUCGGCAAACUCGAUCCGUAACUUCGGGAAAAGGAUUGGCUCUGAGGGCCGAGCUGGGCCGGGCCUUGCCUGCCAAGCAGUACCUAUAGUGACCGGAGUUUUAGGAGUGUGCGGGGCUCUAGUAGCUGUUCGCUCUCCGGGGCGGACACGAACAAGUCCACCGCUCCGCUCCAACCACGAACGGCUGUGACGGCAAUGGCUUUGGGAUUGAGUGUUAAAGUGCUCGUGCGCGCUUACCCCCAGCUUGUCUGGGCGGGGCCGUGCGGGUGCGUGCUCUAUACGUCCCUAACGGCUCCAGCAGCUAGCGGCUAACUCAGAACUGUCAUGGACUAAGGGAAUCCGACUGUCUAAUUAAAACAAAGCGUCGUGACGGCCCCUUUUUGGGUGUUGACACGACGUGAUUUC
rnacentral:rRNA from 1 species